rnacentral:rRNA from 1 species
AGCGAACGCUAGCGGCAGGCUUAACACAUGCAAGUCGAGCGCCAGGUUUCGGCCUGGAGCGGCGAACGGGUGAGUAACACGUAGGUCACGUACCCUAUGGUGGGGAAUACCCCGGGGAAACUCGGAUCAAUGCCCCAUAUGUCCGAAAGGAUGAAAGCGCUUCGGCGCGCCAGAGGAUCGGCCUGCGGCCCAUUAUUUAAUCCUAGUUGGUGAGGUAACGGCUCACCAAGGGUACGAUGGGUAGCUGGUCUGAGAGGACGAUCAGCCACACUGGAACUGAGACACGGUCCAGACUCCUCCGGGAGGCAGCAGUGGGGAGUAUUGGACAAUGGGCGAAAGCCUGAUCCAUCGAUGCCGCGUGGGUGAUGAAGGCCUUCGGGUUGUAAAGCUCUGUCGUGGGGGAAGAAGUUCUGACGGUACCCCACAAGAAAGCACCGGCUAACUCCGUGCCAGCCGCCGCCGUAA